GAUGAACGCUGGCGGCGUGCCUAACACAUGCAAGUCGAGCGACCAUAUGCACCGGAAGAAGCUUCGGCAGACUCCACCGCAUAUGGGAGCGGCGGAUGGGUGAGUAACGCGUGGACAACCUGCCCCGCACUGGGGGAUAACAGCUGGAAACGGCUGUUAAUACCGCAUAUGCGCACGCUGCCGCAUGGCAGAGGGCGGAAAGAUUCAUCGGUGCGGGAUGGGUCCGCGUUGGAUUAGCCGGUUGGCGGGGUAACGGCCCACCAAAGCGAUGAUCCAUAGCCGGCCUGAGAGGGCGACCGGCCACAUUGGGACUGAGACACGGCCCAAACUCCUACGGGAGGCAGCAGUGGGGGAUAUUGCACAAUGGGGGAAACCCUGAUGCAGCGACGCCGCGUGAGCGAUGAAGUGCCUCGGCAUGUAAAGCUCUAUCAGCGGGGAAGAAGAUGACGGUACCCGACUAAGAAGCCCCGGCUAACUACGUG
rnacentral:rRNA from 1 species